UUAUCUUUUUGUCCUCAAGGAGGCCAGAAGAGGUCGACUUGGGAUACAGUGUCGGAGAGUUAAUUCUCCAGGGGGCGGGGAGUGAAGAUUUUUGUCCCCCUUCCCCCACCAGGGGUCAUUUGGCAAUGUCUGGAGACAUUUUUAGUUAUCGUGACUGGCAGGGGGUGGGCGGGCAGUGCUACAGGCACCCAGCGCAUAGAAGCCAAAGAUUCUGCAAUGCACAGGUCAGCCCCACAACAAAGAAUCACCUAGCACCAAAUGCCAAUGGUGCCACGUUGAGAGACCCCGAAUUGGAGGAAUUUUAGUUACUUAAUAUCUUUCGAAGCAAAGAACACAUAGUCACUCAGUCCACCUUCAGGGAAAGGGUACUUCAGCUGCAUGUUUGUUUAAGGAUCUAUGGCUGGGAACGGGGAUUUGAACCCGCGCAGAGGUCAGGAACACCGGCCUCUCUUGUUUCCAUUGGUCUGCUCCGGCUCUCCUCUCACUGCUGAUUGGCCGGACCUUUUCAAAUCCCAGGGAAGGCAGACUGCUAGACUUAGCCAAUCGCCUCUGCUCCUUCAAAGACUCGGUAGAGUCUUCUAGGCAGCCCGCCGCCGCCGGGAGGGUAGCCCUUGGUCAGCAGUCCUCCCCCCAUCCAAUGAGAGGCCACUCACAUAAGAAACAGUCUGGACAUCUUCCCCGGAUAAGAGAUCUGAAGCAAGGCAGUGUGAGUCAGAAGGAGGUAUUGGAAUCAAACACACCACGACCGGCUUUCGUAUUGGUCUUCCUGGCCCAGUGCUAUCUUUUUCUUGGCAAAGCACAGAUAAGGCUGAAUACAAGCUGCAGGUUUUUUUUUUUUUUUCUUCCCGAAAGCUGUGCUGUACAAUACAGUGGACACUAGUCACGUGGAAUAUUUAUUCAAUCUUAAACUCCUCGACAUUAAGUAAACUUCAAAACUCAGCCCUUUGGUCUCAUUAGCCACAUUGCCAGCGCUCAAUAGCCACAUCUGGCUGGCGGCUAGCCUACCCUACUGGACAGUUGCGGGCGCGGAACGUUUCCAUUGUUGCAGAAAGUUCUGGUGAACCGCACGGCUCCAAAAGAAGUUCCCCCACCGAGCUGGAAGGGUUGGACGUCAGUGGAAAACACGGUUGAGGGUCAGCCCGAAAGAGAAACCAGAGGCGUCCUUUACUGAUCGGCCGUCGUUACUGCUGCUCACAGGUGGAGGCCUUCCAUUUCACUCCCGCCGACCCCUGGACCAGAAAAGUCUGAGUCACAGCAUCUAUGCACAGAGCAGACACCAUUUAUCCCCAAGUGAUGGCAGGGGAGAAGCAAGACAGCAAGUCCAGUGGCCCCCAGGGGUCCUCAGAGCCUUCUCGGUGUUCUCCCCAUAAAGUUUCUCUGACACCGAUUUCUACAGAAGGAGCCAGAAGCUGUGCCAGUUCAGCACCUUGUCUGUUUGUGCCGGCUGCUUUCUAAUGCUGUUUUGGCCCCUGUCUUUCACGUUCGAGGCUUUCUUCAGAUGCUGACGAUCCUUGCUUGUGUGUUUACGACCAAGAGCCAGAGCCACAAAGCUGUCUGGAAGCCCUGAGCCCACGGGGCCCUCUGGAUGGACCUUCGGGUGUAGGCCCAGUGUGACACCUUUUCACUCUUUCUUCUUGGGGAGCUUGUGGGGAAGAAGGCAAGGCAGUUUCUGCAUGCAUAAAGCAUAUAUUAACUGAAUUCCUUUUUCCUUGGAUUCAGUCUUCAUCCCUCCUACCUGGUUUUCUCCAUCCCAAAGUAAUCCCCCAGA